rnacentral:lncRNA from 1 species
AUGAGCGCGAAGGAUGAUGCACCUGAUGGCAGGAGCAGCCCCCUCCGCCGGCUCCUCGGCUGCUUCGCCCAGCGCCUUGCUUACCCGUGCAUACUAGUAUGCCAUGCAGAGGGAUGGAGAGAAUCUGUUGCUGGUGGAGACGAAAACGUUAUUGAAAAUGCUCAACCGCUACAUACAGGAACAGGUCAAGACAAACAAACAGGGUCAACUUACUCAGUGAGGUCCUACCUAUUCAGUUUCCUUUUGAGGAGAAUUUUCAGGGACGGAACUAGAGUUUCAUCUUUUCAUGUGUGAAAGGUAUGUGUAUCUACCAUCAAAGGCACAUUGAAAGUGGUCCAAGACAAAAAGCUCAUUGCGCAACAACUGAACUAUCAACCGUAGCCUACCUAAAAGCCUGAAAUCUCUAGCCUGCUUCAAGGCAACAUAUAACUCAAGCAACAAAGACUGGAGGUGCAGAGGUGUCUAUUCUUGCAGGCAUAACUUUGAGCAAAAGAGCUUAUUGCAUAAUCACAGCCUUUAUAAAAAGGCAGAUAUAAGUGUAGAAAGAAUGAAGGCAAUGGGACUGAGGGUUAAGGCACUGGCGAUGUAACACAGUGAUACCCCACAGCUGGCUAAGGAACAUAAUUUAAAAAGAGGAAAUGCAUCACCAAAGCAGAUGGCCCAGAUUUGCAUAUAAUCUACAUAUGGUAAUUAGUAUGUACGCAUGUAAAUUUAUAAGUAAUUACUGUACUUUCAAGGGAAAUGUGAUACAUCUCAUCAUGACUGUGACCUGUUUUGUUGUCCAAUCUGCUAUAUAGGUGCUAACCAUCGAUGCAUCUUUAUGUCUCUGCUUCCCACUUCUUAAAGGUUUAUCCUUAAACGAAACUUGACGGAUUGAAAUCUUAUAUGUGAUUGAAGUCACGUGUAGUAGACAGCCCUUCUUUUAACCAGCUAAAGAUUUUGUAUUUUUCCAAGGUUCCAGAAGGGGCGUUCUUCAGCCUAUUUUAAAACUGAUUUAUUGUGGCUUGGCUUGAAGUUGCUUGUGAUGAGGGGCAAGCAGAAAUUCUCUAAAUGUAUAAAUAUCCAAAUGUAUGGUACAGCAUGAAGUACCCACUUGUGCUGCUUAAAAACAAGAGUGUCUUACCGAAAAUUAAAGCUACAACGAAUGCUUGUUUUUAAGUGAUCAACCAUUACUUUUGGUAUUACAAGCAUGUGUAUAUAGAUCCCUUAUAGCUUACUGUCAUGUAAUGCUUUAUAAAUGAUACUUAAUAAACAAC